ACACAACUUUCAACAACGGAUCUCUUGGUUCUGGCAUCGAUGAAGAACGCAGCGAAAUGCGAAAAGUAGUGUGAAUUGCAGAAUUCAGUGAACCAUCGAGUCUUUGAACGCACAUUGCGCCCGAGGCCACUCGGCCGAGGGCAUGCCUGUUCGAGCGUCAUUU
rnacentral:rRNA from 1 species